CAUAGCGACUAUCGUGGCAUAUCAAUAAGCGGAGGAAAAGAAACUAACAAGGAUUCCCUUAGUAACGGCGAGUGAAGCGGGAAGAGCUCAAAUUUGAAAUCUUCAAGGUUCUACCUUGACGAAUUGUAGUUUAUAGAAGUGUUUUCUGUUAGUAGAGUGGCAAAAGUUCUUUGGAAUAGGACAUCUUAGAGGGUGAGAAUCCCGUAUUUGACCAUUAUUUUCAGCUGUGUGAUACACUUUCAAAGAGUCGGAUUGUUUGGGAAUGCAGUCCAAAAUGGGUGGUAAAUUUCAUCUAAAGCUAAAUAUUGGCGAGAGACCGAUAGCGAACAAGUACCGUGAGGGAAAGAUGAAAAGAACUUUGAAAAGAGAGUUAAACAGUACGUGAAAUUGUCAAAAGGGAAGCGUUUGACACCAGUGUUGUUUUCCCGAAAAUCAAUUAAAAAAGGCCGGAUUUUGUAUUGUAUUGACCUUAAAAGCUUUCUUCACUCUUUUCAUGUUUAUUUUUAAUGCACUUUUCGUUUAACAAGUCAACAUCAGUUUCUUUUGUUGUAAAAGGGUCAUUGGAAGGUGGCUUUCUUUUCGGAGAAAGUGUUUAUAGCCUUUGAUCUCUGCAACCGGAGAGACUGAGGUCUGCAGCGUAGACUCUUCGGGGUUAGAUACAUUUGUGCUAAGCUAUAGCUUUUUAUAGACAACUUGUUGACUAUAUUUAGUCUUGUGGCUUACUCGCUUAUGCUAUUUUACCUACGCUUAGGAUGUUGAUAGUCACAGCGUGUAC
rnacentral:rRNA from 1 species